rnacentral:misc_RNA from 1 species
UCGCGGCUUAUCACCGGCAGUCCCCUUAGAGUGCCCAACUGAAUGAUGGCAACUAAGGACAAGGGUUGCGCUCGUUGCGGGACUUAACCCAACAUCUCACGACACGAGCUGACGACAGCCAUGCAGCACCUGUCUCACGGUUCCCGAAGGCACUCCCUGAUCUCUCAAGGAUUCCGUGGAUGUCAAGGCCAGGUAAGGUUCUGCGCGUUGCAUCGAAUUAAACCACAUACUCCACCGCUUGUGCGAGCCCCCGUCAAUUCCUUUGAGUUUCAGUCUUGCGACCGUACUCCCCAGGCGGCGAACUUAACGCGUUAGCUUCGACACGGAACCCGUCGAUAGAGUCCCACACCUAGUGCCCAACGUUUACGGCGUGGACUAC